rnacentral:lncRNA from 1 species
GGAGUCAAACGCAUUUAACCUGAACCCUUCCCGUCUCCUUAAAGGUCACCCAAGUUGAGGUAAACGUUGAAAGUAUCAAUAUCAACGAAAGCGAAUCUUAAUCGAGCCUAACCUACAUGGAUUAAAAUAUAAACCAUGGAAUUACACAUAUGUUAUUGGAGGGCGAGUCCCAAAAUAAAAAAUGCAGCAGCAGUCAACUUCAUCACUGCCCCUUCUGCACAUAUAAGGCUGAACAAUAUAUGGCCAACAACCGCAUCAAAGGUCAUGCUUCAGUGUGGCACAAAGAGUUCACAAUCAUAAAGUGUGGCUUCAGUUGUAGAAAUGCGACACGCUGUGUUUGCUUCAAACAGCCAUGUCACUGCUACUUGGUUUCCACCAGCAUCAUUGAACCCCAUGGAUCACCUGCCGGAGAAUGCAGCAAGUCUGCAGUGGAUUCUUAUUUCAGUAUGAGAACCUGGACAUUGGACAAUAUGUGUAAGUAAAUUUAGUUUUGCCUUUGUUAUUGUUUGUUUACUGUAAAACGAAGUUGCUCAUUGCCGAUCUUAUUCUUUGCUAGAAUUAUAAUGCGUCAUAGCUAUGUUUCAUUUACCACUACCUUUCUUUCAGUAUAAAUCAUACAACUUUAAAGUCAUAGGUUUAAA